AUUGAACGCUGGCGGCAUGCCUUACACAUGCAAGUCGAGCGGCAGCGCGGGGGCAACCCUGGCGGCGAGCGGCGAACGGGUGAGUAAUACAUCGGAACGUGUCCUGUCGUGGGGGAUAACCAGUCGAAAGACUGGCUAAUACCGCAUGAGAUCGAAAGAUGAAAGCGGGGGACCGCAAGGCCUCGCGCGAUUGGAGCGGCCGAUGUCGGAUUAGCUAGGUGGCGGGGUAAAAGCCCACCAAGGCGACGAUCCGUAGCUGGUUUGAGAGGACGACCAGCCACGCUGGGACUGAGACACGGCCCAGACUCCCACGGGAGGCAGCAGUGGGGAAUUUUGGACAAUGGGGGCAACCCUGAUCCAGCCAUGCCGCGUGUGUGAAGAAGGCCUUCGGGUUGUAAAGCACUUUCGGCCGGAACGAAAUCGCGCGGAUUAAUAACCCGCGUGGAUGACGGUACCGGAAGAAGAAGCACCGGCUAACUACGUGCCAGCCGCCGCGGUAA
rnacentral:rRNA from 1 species